UACAGAGACUGCAAGCGUUAUUCGGAUUCACUGGGCGUAAAGGGUGCGCAGGCGGUUUUGUAAGUCUGUCGUGAAAGCCCCGGGCUUAACCUGGGAAUGGCAUGGGAAACUGGCGGGCUGGAGUGUGGCAGAGGGGGGUGGAAUUCCGCGUGUAGCAGUGAAAUGCGUAGAUAUCGAGAGGAACACCAGUGGCGAAGGCGAGUCCCUGGACGACUCCUGACACUGAGGCACGAAAGCUAGGGGAGCAAACAGG
rnacentral:rRNA from 1 species